UACAUGGGGUGCAAACGUUGCUCGGAAUUAUUGGGCAUAAAGCGCACGUAGGCGGUUUGUUAAGUCGGAUGUGAAAUCCCUCGGCUCAACUGAGGAAGUGCAUCCGAAACUGGCAAGCUUGAGUACGAAAGAGGGUCGCGGAAUUCCCGGUGUAGAGGUGAAAUUCGUAGAUAUCGGGAGGAACACCGGUGGCGAAGGCGGCGACCUGGGUCGAUACUGACGCUGAGGUGCGAAAGCGUGGGGAGCAAACAGG
rnacentral:rRNA from 1 species